rnacentral:rRNA from 1 species
UGGGGAAUAUUGCACAAUGGGCGCAAGCCUGAUGCAGCCAUGCCGCGUGUGUGAAGAAGGCCUUCGGGUUGUAAAGCACUUUCAGCGGGGAGGAAGGCGUUAAGGUUAAUAACCUUGGCGAUUGACGUUACCCGCAGAAGAAGCACCGGCUAACUCCGUGCCAGCAGCCGCGGUAAUAUGGAGGGUGCAAGCGUUAAUCGGAAUUACUGGGCGUAAAGCGCACGCAGGCGGUCUGUCAAGUCGGAUGUGAAAUCCCCGGGCUCAACCUGGGAACUGCAUUCGAAACUGGCAGGCUAGAGUCUUGUAGAGGGGGGUAGAAUUCCAGGUGUAGCGGUGAAAUGCGUAGAGAUCUGGAGGAAUACCGGUGGCGAAGGCGGACCCCUGGACAAAGACUGACGCUCAGGUGCGAAAGCGUGGGGAGCAAACAGG